GGAAGGAUGGCUCAGCUGUUAAGAGCACAACACUGAUCUUGCAGAGGAUCUGAGUUCGAAUCUCAGCACUACCA
rnacentral:tRNA from 1 species